AAAUUGAAGAGUUUGAUCAUGGCUCAGAUUGAACGCUGGCGGCAGGCCUAACACAUGCAAGUCGAACGGUAACAGGAAGCAGCUUGCUGCUUCGCUGACGAGUGGCGGACGGGUGAGUAAUGUCUGGGAAACUGCCUGAUGGAGGGGGAUAACUACUGGAAACGGUGGCUAAUACCGCAUAACGUCGCAAGGCCAAAGAGUGGGACCUUCGGGCCUCUUG
rnacentral:rRNA from 1 species